rnacentral:rRNA from 1 species
CAGUCGCCGCGGUAAUACGUAGGGUGCGAGCGCUAAUCGGAAUUACUGGGCGUAAAGCGUGCGCAGGCGGUUUGUUAAGACAGAUGUGAAAUCCCCGGGCUCAACCUGGGAACCGCAUUUGUGACUGGCAAGCUAGAGUGUGGCAGAGGGGGGUGGAAUUCCGCGUGUAGCAGUGAAAUGCGUAGAUAUGCGGAGGAACACCGAUGGCGAAGGCAGCCCCCUGGGCCAACACUGACGCUCAUGCACGAAAGCGUGGGGAGCAAACAGGAUUAGAUACCCCAGUAGUCCCUGUCUCUUAUAU